GAAAUGCGAUAAGUAAUGUGAAUUGCAGAAUUCCGUGAAUCAUCGAAUCUUUGAACGCACAUUGCGCCCUGGUAUUCCGGGGGGCAUGCCUGUCCGAGCGUCAUUGCGAACCCCUCAAGCACGGCUUGUGUGAUGGGCCCUCCCGCGUCUUGGUCGUCAAGACGGGCCCGAAAUGCAGUGGCGGCUUCGCGGUUAUCCGAUCAGCCAGAGCGUAUGGGGACUCUCUCUCUUGUCACACGCCCGCGGCGCGGACCGACGCCUGUCGACCUUUAUUCAUCUUCUCUCGGUUGACCUCGGAUCAGGUAGGGAUACCCGCUGAACUUAAGC
rnacentral:misc_RNA from 1 species